CUGGUUGGCGGAGCCAUGUUGGUAGGGCGAGUGUCGACACUGGCAGUGACGUCAGUCGUCAUUGAACGUGAGCUGGCGUGCAGAGCAGAUCCACGGUAAAAUGAAGUUGGAAAAAGGAGUGAAAACACUGAGUUAAACUAUCGUUUGAGUCCUUUCUUCGUCGCUUCGGUUUGUUGGAACUAUGAGACUAUUAUGGAAGUAGUCUGGAUGCUAAAACUUGAAGCUGUUUUCGUCGAAGACGAGUGAGGCUUGUCUCUCAGCACACCUGCUGCGCUAAGGUGUUUACUUGUUGAUCUGCUGCAGCCUGGAGGGAAACACCAGCUCUCACCUCACAGACCAAACAGGACUCAGAGUUGAAGCAGGAAACAGUUGGAGUGACAGAGACAAGAGACAGACAUGAAGAUUUCCACAAGGUGUCACCACUUCAUCCAUGAGUCCAGAGACCAGGACCAGAUCCAGCACCGAGUCCUCCAGGUGAACUCACAGAAACCACUGGAUCCACUCGAGGUGAAGGAGGAGGAGGAGGAGAUGAAGAUGAAGAUGAUGUCAUCAGGCGUGAAGAGGUGGAGCUGAUGAAAGAAAACAACAGAGUGAUGAAGCUGUUGAUUAAAGACACUGACAGAAAAACCUCCAGCCUGUUGAUGGAAACACAACAAACACUUUGUUCAACUGGAGACACUUUGUUUCAGCCUCCCCCUGCUACAUGUUUGACCACUAGGAGGCGCUGUGUUUUACUCUCUGGUUAUUGUUGUUCACACAUGAGGAUGUUUCCAAACACCAACAU